ACAGCAGUAGCCGCGGGAAUACGUAGGUCCCGAGCGUUGUCCGGAUUUAUUGGGCGUAAAGCGAGCGCAGGCGGUUAGAUAAGUCUGAAGUUAAAGGCUGUGGCUUAACCAUAGUACGCUUUGGAAACUGUUUAACUUGAGUGCAAGAGGGGAGAGUGGAAUUCCAUGUGUAGCGGUGAAAUGCGUAGAUAUAUGGAGGAACACCGGUGGCGAAAGCGGCUCUCUGGCUUGUAACUGACGCUGAGGCUCGAAAGCGUGGGGAGCAAACAGGAUUAGAUACCCCCGUAGUCCCUGUCUCUUAUACA
rnacentral:rRNA from 1 species